GCAUCUUCCUCUGUCACAACAACCCCCUGCAUAUCCUCCCUAUGCACAUCCACAAACCUCCUCUUUGGCCUCCCCCUUCUCUGCUUUGUGGCUCCAUCCUCAACAUCCUUCUCCCUAUAUACCCUGGGAUUUUCCCACUUACUACUUGUAUACUCCAAAUUCUACAU